UACGUAGGGCGCAAGCGUUGUCCGGAAUUACUGGGCGUAAAGCGUGCGCAGGCGGCUUUGCAGGACAGAUGUGAAAUCCCCGGGCUCAACCUGGGAACUGCAUUUGUGACUGCAUGGCUAGAGUGCGGCAGAGGGGGAUGGAAUUCCGCGUGUAGCAGUGAAAUGCGUAGAUAUGCGGAGGAACACCGAUGGCGAAGGCAAUCCCCUGGGCCUGCACUGACGCUCAUGCACGAAAGCGUGGGGAGCAAACAGG
rnacentral:rRNA from 1 species